UACGUAGGGGGCAAGCGUUAUCCGGAUUUACUGGGUGUAAAGGGAGCGUAGGUGGCAUGGCAAGUCAGAUGUGAAAGCCCGGGGCUCAACCCCGGGAUUGCAUUUGAAACUGCCAGGCUGGAGUGCAGGAGAGGUAAGUGGAAUUCCUAGUGUAGCGGUGAAAUGCGUAGAUAUUAGGAGGAACACCAGUGGCGAAGGCGGCUUACUGGACUGUAACUGACACUGAGGCUCGAAAGCGUGGGGAGCAAAC
rnacentral:rRNA from 1 species